rnacentral:lncRNA from 1 species
GCAUUGGAUAACAUUCCUUCACUCCCCUCUCUGGCACCUCUCUUCUGCUUCAGUGUGAUAUCAGCCUCUGUUACUCCUCUCUAACUUGUAUUAACAUUCCUUCUCUGUCUCCUCCACUGAUCCUUUUCUCUGACCUCCUUUUUAAUUUUAGUGCUUCGUAGCUCUCCACUUGAUUCUCUUCUCAUGUUGCAGCCUCCCUGGGAAAUCUCAUCCAUUCCCAUGACUUGAACAACAAUUUAAAUGCUAAUGUCUCACAAAUCUUUAUCUUCUCCCAGACAUUGCCCCUAAAUUCUAGACUUAUAUAUGUAACUAUCUAUUAGACAUCUUCACCAGGGAUAUUCUCCAGGCUUUAAAAAACAGAAUACACUUAAAAUUCAACUCAACAUUCCCCCCUAAACCUGCUCCUCAUCUUGUAUUUACCAUCUGAAUUUCAUGUUACACUACACUAUGCGACACAAAUGUGACUCAUUUAGACCCUAUGCACUGCAGAAUAUUAGUGCUUUUUGAAUCAGGUAAGUCUGGAUUUGAAUUUUCCCUAUGGGACUUAAAAUCUGGAUGACCCUGGAAAAGUUACUUUAAUUCUCUAAACUCCAGUUUCAUUUUCCGUAAAAUGAGAAUUAAAAAAAAAAAUACCUAUUUUGCAAGGCUAUUCAGAAGAUGAAAUGGGAUAAUAUACGUUACAUACCUUCCUAUUGGAGUUCCCUAUAGACUAAAAUACUUAAUAAGGAAUAUUGCUAUUCCAAGGACAGUGUCUCACCUCUCACAUCCAGUUGGUUUCUAAGUCCUGUUUCUAACUCUGAACUUCACUCCAACAAUCCUUUCUGUCUUUACCAUCUCUGUUGAUCACGCCUAAUUAGGAUCUAGUCAUCUCUACCUCAGUGACUGCAAAUUUCUCUAACUCAAUGGUCCUCCACUUUUUUCAGAGGAUGGAUGAUGUUUACACAUGUGAUUCAUUCCCUCAGGCAUAGUCAAUGUCAAGUACAAUCAUAGAGGUUGAGGCUAUAAUUCCAGUCCUUUCUUUCCCCUGCCACUAGAAAACAUCCUGGAAUAAAAGUAAGAGUGGGACCAUUAAAGAGGUUAACUUGAAUCUGUUCCCAUUUAUUUCAGCCUGGUGCAACUUUUAGUACAAUAUUUUCAAUAGCAAACUGCCUGAGCACAUCUGUGUGCAACCCCAUCAUCGACAAAAUCUUUGUGUUAACCAGCCUCCUUGACCAGUUUCUCAUCCCACACUAAUCCCAUCCUCCUUGUUGUUGUCAAAGCUGGUUUCUAUUCUGUGGACUUUACUACCUGUUCUGCAUUUUCUGUAGGGUAAAAUGCACCUCCCUUUGGUUUGGCACACAAGGCCCUCCGGACAUGGCCCUUUUCAACUUCUCAGGCUUUUCUCUUUCUAUACCUCACCUUGCAUAUGACUCUUGAAACAGCAAAAUAAUGGCACUUCCCACCUCCCUUCCGGCAUCUCCCCCUCACUCCUCAUCCCAGUGCAGUCUUCCUUUCUUCCUUAGGCUCUAGGUGCACCCUUGAAUGUACCCUUCAUCCCAGGCACUCACGACCUAUGGGCUCCUAAGUCCACUGGGCAUUGUCACUCAGCAGUAAUGGACCCUUUGAACACUCCCCUUCCUUCUCGAUUUUUUGGCUGCUCCUGUAUUAAUUGCAUUUUUGAGUUCUCUUUUUUCCUACUCACGCUUCAAUAUUCUGUCCCCCAGGACUCUUUCCUAUGCAUUUUUCUUUUCUUCUGUUUUUCUGUUUUUUAUAGUCUGCUAACUCUCUUUUGGAGUUUAUACAUUAUACAUUAUGGUUUCAAUUACCACCUGUAUGCAGAUGCCAACAAAUCCUCUUUUUUCCUUUUUCUUCCUAAGCUUUACCUCUUGCCUGAACCCCAUAUACCCAGUCGCUCCAGGACUCUCCCACUUAAUGACCUUAUAAGUGACAUAAUCAUGCACAGUAAUCUCAGAAGAGACUUCAUUAUUCCCGCCACCCUCCUGAACUAACUUUUUUCUCAUUCAAGUUAUACACUUCUGUAAAUGGCACUAUCUACCCAAUUUCUAAGCCAGAAAUCUAGGAGAAUCUAUCUUUGACCACUACCAAUCUUUUUUUCAGCCCUGAAUUUCAGCUAGUUAUCAUUAUCUGAUUAUACCUCACUAAUAUCUCUAAAAUCCCUUGAUUAUACCUCACUAAUAUCUCUAAAAUCCCUCCACACAUUCCCAAAUCCACUGCUACACAUUACUCUAGGCUGCCAUCAUCUUACAUAGAUGAACUUAUCUUCUUCCUUCAACUUUGCUGCCCACUAACUCAUCAGCCUCUAUAUUCAACCUGUUAUUUUACCUUAAUUCAGAUCUAAUAAUAGAAGUAUCAUAACUUAAAACCCUUCAAGAUAAGUUCAGAUUUAACAUGACUGAUAAGGAUUUCCAAGAGUUGGAUCUGGCCCCUCCUACCACUACCAGCCCAGUCAACUUGGCAUGUUCACUCUCACACAGUAUAGUCAAGCUACAUUGAACUUUUUUCAGUUCCUCAUGUCUUUUUUUUUUUUUUUUGGUCUCUGUUUUGUCUGCAUGGGAUGCUAUCUUUACCCUACCUCUUUCCUUGGCCUGGCUUACUCUGCUUCAGAGCUCUUGUUCUCUAGGAUUGAUUAAUUCUUUCUAAGGUCCCAGUAUUUCCAUAUCAUUACAUCAAUUUCUCUACUAGAAGCUUUCAUCAUAUAUGACUGCUAAUAAUUAAAGUAGAAUCAAAUUGAGGAGCUUUAAAAAUGUUAUGUACAUACCUUAAAGUUUGUUUUUUGUUUUUAUUUUUUAUUUUUUGUCCUAAUACUUUAAAUGCACAUCACCAGUUUUUUGCUGUAAGGCUAUGGAUUUUAAUUUGGAGAUGGGUAUGUUGGUUAAAGAGCCACCAUAGUGCACCAUGUGUAAGUUUUAGUUUCACUUUAUUUAAAGUGGAGUGAUAACUUAAAACAGAGUGAAAAGCUACACAUUUGCCAACUAAUCUGAAUGUAAAAUUUUCUGGAUUAUUAAGACUUUUUUUCUGAGUCUUUUCUGGUUGUAUAACCUUUUUAUAAUUUUUAUAGAAAUAUUUUCAAUGAUUCCUCUUGUGUCUUUCCAAAAUAUUCAACUUAAUUUUCAAAGAAACAAGUCUUUCAUUUUACACUCUAUUUCACUGAAUUAUGUAAGCAACGUUUAAUUAUAUUACAUGGUUACAAUAAUAAGUCAACUGUCAUAAAUAGUUUGGGCAUAAACACAACUAAUUCUUGGCAAGUGUGCAACUCAACAAAUGAGAGGAGAAGUGUGUAGGCUUACUGGAGCGUAGCCUACUGGCUGUGAGCUUUCACUGAGCCCGGAAUAUUAAUCAGUUUGUUUUGCAAAAGCAAUUGAUAGUAUUAGUUAAUUUGCCAAGUCAGUUAAGUGGAGGUCUGUUAAGAGUGCUCUGUUAACAUAGCUGUGUCACUUCCACAUUGACUGUAUGCACUGUGAGGACAGGAUAUACAUGCAUAGCUGAGAAAUCAUCUCUUUUUAUUCACCAUGAGGCUCACCACUAUGUAAGGGGCACACAAUAAAUGUGUGCUGAAAGAAUUACUGUAUUAAUGAAUAUGUGGAAUAUCUACUCCUUAUAGCCUAUCCUUCCUCCACUAUAGCUCACUGUCAACACCUUUUUUUAAAAAUUUUAUUGGAGUGUAGUUGACUUAAAAUAUUGUAUUUGUCUUAGGUGUACAGCAAAAGGAUUCAGUUAAACAUAUACAUAUAUCCAUUCUUUUUUCCCAUUUGGUUUAUAGAAUAUUGAGUAGAUUUCUCUAUGUUAUACAGUAGGUCCUUGUUAAUUAUCUAUUUAUAUACAAUUGAGCACUUUAAUUUACAGGCUGAUUUCCCUAACUGAUCUCUCCAUCCUCCAAAGUAAAAUAUAAAAUUUCCCUUUUUCUGCCUUCACUGUAUUAUACACCCACUCCCAACAUACCACUUUAAAAUAUUCAAUCAUUUGAUUUUGUUUCUGUUUUUUUUUCAUCUAUUACAGAUCUCUGAAGGCAGGAGAUUGCUUUCAUUUUUAUAUCUUACGUUUAAUACAGAAAUGGCAUAUGUAGUAGUUCCAAGAAAAAUUAAUACAUGAAUAAUUUGCAUUGCUCUUGGAAUGGAUUUACAAUGAGAUCUGCUGCGUAGCAUUGAGAACUAUGUCUAGAUACUUACAUCACAACACAACAAUGGGAGGAAAAAUUAUGUAUACAUGUAUGUGUAACUUGGUCCCCAUGCUGUACAGUGAAAAUAAAAACAAACAAAUAAAUAAAUAAAUAAAAUACCUCUGCCAUGUAAGCUUUUUUUUUUUUUUUUUUUUUUUUCCUUUUUGUUUGUUUUUAUAGGGCUGCACCUGCGGCAUAUGGAAGUUACUAGGCUAGGAGUCGAAUCAGAGCUGUAGCUGCUGGCCUACACCACAGCCACAGUAACACCAGAUCCAAGCUGCGUCUGUGACCUACACCACAGUUUGUGGCAAUGCUGGAUCCUUAACCCACUGAGCGAGGCCAGGGAUCAAACCCAUGUCCUCAUGGAUACUAGUCUGGUUCGUUACCACUGUGCCACGACAGGAACUCCCACGUAGGUAUUCUUGUCACCAACUUAGAUGAAGAAUCUGAGCUGGAAAAUAUUAAAUAACUUAAGUAAUAUUACAAAGCAAAUCGUGGGGUCUCCUUGGUCUAUGAACCCCAAAGCUUAUGGUCUUUCACCUCUAAUAUGUCUCCUUCAAUCACCUAGUAAGUUAAAACCUAUUCUAGGAGUAGAAGUAAAACAUUUCCUGGCCUUGAUCAAUUCUUCUUACUUGCCAGCUAUUUUUGAAUAUGAAUAUUCUCGCUUGUUUUUUUUUUUUUUUUAAUAGACUCAUAGGUGAACAGCAACGAGGAAAGGCAGAUGAGGAAUCCUCAGGAAAAACGACACAAACCUGAGCAAUAAGGUAGAAUAUAUGGUCUGAAUUAGAGGACGUGGAAAAUGAGGUGGUGAAGAGAUUCUAUAAAGCAAAUCAGACCCAAGGAUAUAGAU